CUCACAGGGUUGGGUUGAGGCUCCAGUGGGAUAAUGUUUCUGAAAAUGUCUUGCAAACUAGGGAAUUCGAUACACACGACGGCUAGAGAAAGUGGAAAAGAAAGGAAGGAUUUGGGGAAGCUGAGGCAGGAAUGGACAUCCAGCCACCUCACAGAGGAAGAGCUUGGGUUCUUGGAGCACUGAGGGUGCCCACCCACCACCAGCUAGGGGCCCAUGUGCUUAAUACAUAAAGCAACUCUAGUAGGAGCCGUGGCUACAGGGUCCUGUAAUGUCAGAGCUAGAAGGAACAUGAGCGAUCAUGGGGUACAACCCCACCUCCCUACCCCAUUUUACACAUGUGGGAACCGAGGCUCAGAGAGGGAAACGGGCUUGCCUCACAUCAUCCAGGGCAGCAGAGGCAGAGCUGGGACCAGACUCACUUCCCGAUGCAAAGUGCAGAGCACCAUUUCCACUGCCCCACGAACCUGAAGGCAAACAUUCCCCACCCCAGUAACUGGAAGGCUACUACCUGUACCAGAGGAUGGCUGAUGUCUCUGGAGGCCGAGUUGGGAGCAGAACGAACCUACUUACAUGGUCCUUCCAUCCGAUCCAAUUCAGGCAAGGGUAGGAGGGACUCAGGCCCGACCUACGGGAGAACUGCCCACACCAUCAGGACCCAGAGGCUGCGUUACUCAAUACCUUCAAAAGCUGUGGGGUGGGAUUGGGAGCCAGAGCUUGUUCUAUUCCUCUUUGCCUCUCAACUUUUGGCAAGAUACUAAACCUCCGCCUUGGUGUGAUCGCCUGUAAAAUAUUAGGGGCUGUAAGGAUUAAACAGAAGACAUGUGAAAGCACCUAGCGUAGUGCCUGAUAUACGGGUGCUCAAUAAACAGUCCUGGAUCUGUGUCUGAGAGCAUAUGGUGAACCCGUAUCUGCAGAUGAAACCGUCAGGCCACAGCGGCUCCACACAUUACAAGGUGGAUCUGAGCUGGGUUGCCCCUUCUGGGGGAGGAUAGUGGCCUGGCCGUAAUCUCGCUUGGCGCCAGGGAAAUAAACCUGGUGGCCUUC